GCAGUGCUUUGGCCUUCGCCCAGUUCGCGCGACGCGCAUAGUGCCGCAUAGGCAUAGAGCAUAGGUUAGGAAACGUCAAACAUCUCGGUUUUCAAAUCAUUCGGGGAAAUGAAAGAACUUGAAAUAAAAAUCUCGAAGCAUCGUUACCGAAUUCGAUCUUCGUCUGCCGCAUCUGCAUAUUGAACAUAAAGCGUGUUUUGUCAUUCGCGAUAUUUUUUUUUUUUUUUUUUACUCUGAAUGGCACGUCUAACCCCCCGCGUAAGGACGACGCAAAAACGAUGACCAAUACUUCUGGGUGUGUUAAAGGUAUUAACUGUGAGUACAGUAACAAUGGAUACUUUGUUUACUCCGAAUAUUCCCGAUGAAGCAGAAGAUAUACCGCAAACGGAUGAGCCAGUUUGGAUUUUUGGGAAGAAGUACAAUGCUAUUAAAGAACUUGAUGCAAUACGAAGAGAUAUUCGAUCCAAAUUAUGGUUUACCUAUCGCAAAGGCUUUGUUCCCAUUGGUGGCUGUAAUUCUACAUUUACAUCUGAUAAGGGUUGGGGUUGUAUGUUGAGAUGUGGGCAAAUGGUUCUAGCCCAAGCCUUAAUUACAUUACACUUAGGUAAAGAUUGGCAGUGGAUGCCGGAAACGAAGAAUAAUACAUACCUAAAAAUUUUAAGACGCUUUGAGGAUAAAAGAGCUGCUGCUUUUUCUAUCCAUCAAAUUGCAUUGAUGGGUGCAUCCGAAGGAAAGGAAGUUGGACAAUGGUUUGGUCCUAAUACUAUUGCACAAGUAUUAAAAAAAUUAAUUGUGUAUGACGAAUGGAGUUCUCUUACUAUACAUGUUGCACUAGACAAUACCUUAAUAAUUAAUGAUAUUUUGGGACAAUGUAGAGUAGAAGGUGGUGUAACAGCAGAAGCAGAUGGAGAAAUUCCUCUAAGAGCACCUAGCCAGUGGAAACCGUUGUUAUUAUUGAUUCCGCUACGCCUUGGACUCAGCGAAAUUAAUCCUGUAUAUAUUAAUGGACUCAAGACAUCAUUCAAGAUCUCACAAUCUCUUGGAGUAAUUGGAGGAAAACCAAAUCUUGCUCUGUAUUUCAUAGGCUGUGUAGGAGAUGACGUGAUCUAUUUAGAUCCUCAUACCACUCAGAGGUCAGGUAGUGUUGAAGACAAGAUAAGCGAAGAAGAAAUUGAGAUGGAUAUUACAUAUCACUGCAAAUCAGCUAGUCGUAUUCCUAUUACCAGCAUAGAUCCUUCUGUGGCGCUUUGUUUCUUCUGUGCUACAGAAAAGGAAUUUAAGUCUUUAUGUAAAUCAAUGCAAGAGGAAUUAAUUUUGCCUGAAAAACAGCCAUUGUUUGAGCUGUGUACAGAGCGUUUGGCACAUUGGUCACCAGCAGAUGAUGCUGUUUCGGAAGCGAUAGCAGCUUCCAGUUAUCAAGGCUAUGAAUUGGAAAUAUGAGAGGAAACACUUAUUGCAGAUCGCAUGUUUAUAAGAAUAUGAUGACGGUAUACAAUCCCAAAUUCUGGCAAUAUAGGUAAAACAAUUACAUUAAAAAUUAUUUUGAGGGAACAUUAUUUGAAAGACUGUUCAAAAAUCGAUUUUAAGUUGAAAGUAAAACUAAUUACAUAUUGCCUAAAAAUAAAUAAUACUUAUGAAUUGUAUAGUAAUCGUUACUUCUGGUAUCAGAAUAUCAAGUCUUACUUAUACAUAUGAACAAAGUCAAGGAAUUGAAUUUCUAAAGAAAUAUACAACGAAGGCGAAGUUAAGCAUGUACGAAAAUGAAAGAAGAAUACUUACAUGUUUAUGCAAUAAAGUUUUGCAUAGUAUUCUUUCCGAUUUUUAUUAUCAAGAUUAUAAUUUUAUUUUUCAUUCGUUUUUUUUUUUCACAGUAAAUUGAUUGGAUUGAUUAAACAUAUGAAAAUCUUACAAUUCUGAAUUUAUCUUAUUUUUCAGCUUUCACGAGAUUGAAACAAAAGAUUUGCCGGCUAUAUUCAAUUACAUCUUUGAUUAUACAGAGCAUUUAUACUAUAUCGGUCAUUCGAUGGGAACUAUUUCGCUAUUCACUUUUCUGUCAACAAAAACAAAACCGGAAUACAAUAUAAAAAUAAAAAUAGCUAUUUGUCUAGUUGUCUAUUUAGCUAUUUGUCUCCGGUUGUUCUUGGAUGGACACCUACAUUUAAUGAAAUAUUUAAUAAAUUGCCAGCACUGCUCCAACUUUGAAAAUAAACGCAACUUUUUAUUGCACAAGCAGUGGAAGUUCUAAAAGAGCGUGAAAUAUAUAUGACGUUUUCUCACAAUCUUUAAAAACUGUUACAGUAGCAAGAACGUUAAUGAAACGAGAUAAUGCAAUAACUCAGAUUAUUUGCGUCACUAUAUUGUUCUUAAUCGU